CUAUAAGUUGUCUGUUUCAGCCUCAUCCCCUCCCUCAAGUCUCACACUCGCUAGAUCUCUGUGUUUUCUCUUCAGCACGCACACGCUGCUUUCUUUCUUUAUCUUUCAUUUUCAUGGUUUGGUGACAUGUUUUUGUUGUUGUUGUUGUUAACUUGAAUUUUUAGGAAUGAUAGCUGAACGAUAGCGAGGUGACGAAAGAAAUUCAUGUAUGUCAGUACACUGAUAACAGUGUGAUGUUACUGUGAAUCCCGACAGGUUCUGAUCGCUCACUCACACAUUUGUCUGAAUUGGGUCAAAUUCUUUUUGUUGGAUGAUUGGAGUGCUUCUUUUGUUGUUUGGGCAGCUGAUGAUUCUUAUUGAUAUUAAUGGCCUUGUAGUUUGCUGCCUUCUUGACAAGAUCGGGCAUCGGACCAAUCAUUGUCAUCAUAUUUGGGCUGUGAAAUCCUGCAAUUGAAAGCCGUUCCCUUUCUGUGUUCA